GACGAACGCUGGCGGCGUGCCUAAUACAUGCAAGUAGAACGCACAGGAUGCACCGUAGUUUACUACACCGUAUUCUGUGAGUUGCGAACGGGUGAGUAACGCGUAGGUAACCUGCCUGGUAGCGGGGGAUAACUAUUGGAAACGAUAGCUAAUACCGUAUAAGAACAUUUACUGCAUGGUAGAUGUUUAAAAGGUGCAAGAGCAUCACUACCAGAUGGACCUGCGUUGUAUUAGCUAGUUGGUGAGGUAACGGCUCACCAAGGCAACGAUACAUAGCCGACCUGAGAGGGUGAUCGGCCACACUGGGACUGAGACACGGCCCAGACUCCUACGGGAGGCAGCAGUAGGGAAUCUUCGGCAAUGGGGGGAACCCUGACCGAGCAACGCCGCGUGAGUGAAGAAGGUUUUCGGAUCGUAAAGCUCUGUUGUUAAGGAAGAACGUGUGUGAGA
rnacentral:rRNA from 1 species